UGCGUAGGCGGUGCGGUAAGUCUUUUGUGAAAUCUCCGGGCUCAACUCGGAGUCUGCAGGAGAAACUGCCGUGCUUGAGCAUGGGAGAGGUGAGUGGAAUUCCUGGUGUAGCGGUGAAAUGCGUAGAUAUCAGGAGGAACACCUGUGGCGAAAGCGGCUCACUGGACCAUAACUGACGCUGAUGCACGAAAGCUAGGGGAGCAAACAGGAUUAGAUACCCUGGUAGUCCUAGCCCUAAACGAUGAUUGCUUGGUGUGUCGGGUACCCAAUCCCGACGUGCCGGAGCUAACGCGAUAAGCAAUCCGCCUGGGGAGUACGGUCGCAAGGCUGAA
rnacentral:rRNA from 1 species